CACAAAUAACAACAAAUUAGUCUUACUCGGAUUAUCUUUGGUAGAAAUCAGAAUGACCGUAGAAAGAAAAGUUGUGUUUCUAUGUUUCUAAAGAAAAAUUAAAAUAUACCUUUUAUUAGAUUGUAACCCUGUGUGGGGUAUUUUUGUUUGUUUGUUUGAGUUUUUAUUAUUUACCUGUGGACUGAACUGGAUCUUAAAUUCUUCUAGGUUCCUCCAAUCCACUUUUCUCCCAUGGAAUUACUAAGAAUGGGAACUGCUCUUUCCUAAAGCCCUGUAAGCUGAAGUUAGACAACUUGAUGUAAAUUUCAAGGGUCAAUCUUCAUGCCUGAUGUGUGGGCCACACCAAAAGUUCACCAAACCACCGAAUGCCAUAACCAGAGACAUUUAAACUACAAACCAAGGACGCUAGGUGAAAGCAGAAAACGGCUUCCAGCUGAACUGAGCCAUAAAGUGUCAAGUGAAAAACCAAUCUGGACCAAGGAUAACAGGACACCAGUAAAAUUCAACAGCAUUGAUAGGAAUGCUGAAUAGGAAUUCAACAAAACAUACAAAUACAUACACUUCAAACACCUACCAGCUGUCCCAGUUCUCCAAGUGUGUUAUAAGCCACACCUCCCUCCAAAUGGUGUUACAGCUGAUAUUCCGAUUUCAGAUGACCCUCCUUCUGUCAGAGGUAUUUGAACCAGAGUGACUCCAUCUUGAAUAGGGGGCUGGGUAAAAUGAGGCCGAGACCUACUGGGCUGCAUUUCCAGGAGGUUAGGUGUUCUUAGACACAGGAUGACAUAGGAAGUUGCCACAGGUCACAAAGACCUUGCUGAUAAAACAGCAUGUGGUACAGAAGCCAGCCAAAUCCCACCAAAACC